rnacentral:rRNA from 1 species
UACGUAGGGGGCUAGCGUUAUCCGGAAUUACUGGGCGUAAAGGGUGCGUAGGUGGUUUCUUAAGUCAGAGGUGAAAGGCUGCGGCUCAACCGUAGUAAGCCUUUGAAACUGGGGAACUUGAGUGCAGGAGAGGAGAGUGGAAUUCCUAGUGUAGCGGUGAAAUGCGUAGAUAUUAGGAGGAACACCAGUUGCGAAGGCGGCUCUCUGGACUGUAACUGACACUGAGGCACGAAAGCGUGGGGAGCAAACAGG